AUGAAUGGAUUUCAAUUUCUGUUGGUGAGAUGAAUGGAUUGCUUUGUGUUAGAUGAAUGUGGUUAGUGAACAAGUUUCUGUUAGAGUUUGUGGUUAAGUUGAUGGUGAUGAUUUGUUCUGUUAGAUUGUUAGAUUGGCUGAAUUUCUGUUACAAUGAAUUUAAUGUUAAUUUGCAAUAACUUUCGUGGAUUAUUUGCAAUAUUUCCCUGUUACUGAUGCAUUGCUGUUUGAUGAAUGAAUUGGAUGUAUGAUGAAUUUGGUUGUGUAUAGUUAUUUUGCUGAAAUGAAGGUUGAGUUUGGAUGUUAAUUCUGUUGUUAUGAUUGUUGGUAUGUGAAUGUAUUGAAUUGAAGUUAAGCUAUAGUCGCUGUUAAUGAUUGUUAUGAUGCCUUUCUCGUGUAUGAUUCUUAAUGUCAACAUGUUGAUGCUUGAACUAAUGUUGAGUGAAUGCGUGGUAAGUUCUUUUUCUGUUAAUGAUUGUAUGACAUGUUCCCAUGAGGUAUAAUGUGUAUGGUCUUGUAUGUAUGCUAGUUGUUAUGUUGGUUCAUGGUUGAAAUUGUUUAAAAAUGUGAAUGUAUGAUGAUGCUAAUGUGUAUGUAUGUUGUGAUGUAACAUGAUACAUUGGCUUGGAAUAUUUGAAGUAUUGGAUGCAUUGCCUUGUAUUUGUUGUCAAUUGGAUGCUAAGUUGUGAUAACAUAUAUGGCAUGAAUUUUUGGGAUUGUUAAUGAUGAUGCAUUAUUUGGAAUGUUUUGUAGGGUAUUCACACAUGAAAGAGGGAUUGAACAAAGCCUAAACAUGAUAUUCAUUUGUCUUGCAUUUGAAGAUUUAGAUCAUGGCAAUCAUCAAACAUCAAGUGGAAGUUUUGAAGAUUCAAAAAAGAUGACUUGUAGAAAAUUAAAAAUCGGAGUUAGGGUUAGGAUAGGUAAAAAUGGUCAUUUGACUUUGGUCAAUUGGUUGACCAAAAAGUCAACAGUUGACCAAAAAUCAACUUAGGUAAAAAUGUAUUUUUGUUUGGUUUGAUUUGUAAUGUAAGGAUUUUGUGAUGUAAUACUAGAUUGAUGUUUUGAAAUGGAAUGAUGGUUCUUGAAUGAAACAUGGAUUUUGAAUGAACCAUGACUUAUGAUAUGAAUUUGAAUAAAUGUAA